GGAGGGUGCAAGCGUUAAUCGGAAUUACUGGGCGUAAAGCGAGUGUAGGCGGCUGCAUAAGUCGGAUGUGAAAGCCCCGGGGCUUAACCUGGGAAUGGCAUUCGAUACUGUGCAGCUAGAGUCUGAUAGAGGGAAGUGGAAUUCCGGGUGUAGCGGUGAAAUGCGUAGAGAUCCGGAGGAACACCAGUGGCGAAGGCGGCUUCCUGGAUUAAGACUGACGCUGAGGCUCGAAAGCGUGGGGAGCAAACAGGAUUAGAUACCCUGGUAGUCCACGCCCUAAACGAUGUCAACUAGACGUUAGGCUCAUUUCGGAGUCUAGUGUCGAAGCUAACGCGUUAAGUUGACCGCCUGGGGAGUACGGCCGCAAAGGUUG
rnacentral:rRNA from 1 species